rnacentral:tRNA from 1 species
AAUAAAAUAGGAUAAGUUAGUCUGUUGGAUUCAUACUUCAAAGGUUGUUUUAUUA